rnacentral:tRNA from 1 species
GCUUGGCUGGCUCAGUCAGUAGAGCAUGUGACUCUUGAUCUCUAGCUCAUGAGUUCAAGUCCCACACUAGGCA